UACGUAGGGUGCAAGCGUUGUCCGGAAUUAUUGGGCGUAAAGGGCGCGUAGGCGGCUUUGCAAGUGGCGGGUGAAAUCCCUCGGCUUAACCGAGGAACUGCCUGCCAGACUGUGAGGCUUGAGACCGGGAGAGGUGAGUGGAAUUCCCAGUGUAGCGGUGAAAUGCGUAGAUAUUGGGAGGAACACCAGUGGCGAAGGCGGCUCACUGGACCGGAACUGACGCUGAGGCGCGAAAGCGUGGGGAGCAAACAGG
rnacentral:rRNA from 1 species